AGAGAGAUAGAGAGAGAGAGAGAGAGAGAGUUUACUGGCUCUGUUCUACCUCCCUCUCUCUCUCUCUCU
rnacentral:miRNA from 14 species